CAUAGCGACUAUCGUGGCAUAUCAAUAAGCGGAGGAAAAGAAACUAACAAGGAUUCCCUUAGUAACGGCGAGUGAAGCGGGAAGAGCUCAAAUUUGAAAUCUUCAAGGUUUACCUUGACGAAUUGUAGUUUAAAGAAGUGUUUUCGGUUAGAGGAGUUUAGGUAAAAGUUCUUUGGAAUAGGACAUCAUAGAGGGUGAGGAUCCCGUAUUUGACCAUUAUUUCCUAGCUUUGUGAUACACUUUCAACGAGUCGGAUUGUUUGGGAAUGCAGUCCAAAAUGGGUGGUAAAUUUCAUCUAAAGCUAAAUAUUGGCGAGAGACCGAUAGCGAACAAGUACCGUGAGGGAAAGAUGAAAAGAACUUUGAAAAGAGAGUUAAACAGUACGUGAAAUUGUCAAAAGGGAAGCGCUUUGACACCAGUGUUGUUUUUCCGAAAAUCAAUUACGAAUGUUUUGUUUUUGAGAAGUUAUGACUUCAUCGGCUUGCUUCUCUCUUUACGAAACUUUCUUAAUGCACUUUUCGGUUAACAAGUCAACAUCAAUUUCUUUUGUUGUAAAAGGGUACGAGGAAGGUGGCUUUCUUUUCGGAGAAAGUGUUUAUAGCCUUGUACCUCUGCAAUCGGAGAGAUUGAGGUCUGCAGCGUAGAUCCUUCGGGGUUGGAUACAUUUGUGCUAAGUUAUAGCUUUUCAUAGACAACUUGUUGACUAUGUUUAGUCUUGUAGCUUACUCGCUUAUGCUAUUUUACCUACGCUUAGGAUGUUGAUAGUCACAGCGUGUAC
rnacentral:rRNA from 1 species